CCUCUACGACGUAAGGAAACGCACUUGGCCCUAAAGUGAAUAAUAAAUAUUUGUCGUAAUUGAUCUUAGUUAAUUAACUGAUUAAGCGGAAUUUAAAAAAUAUUCCAAGGAGCGCCACAUGACGGCAAACCAUAUGUCGUUGGUUUCAUUCAGCUGCGGCAUGCCACUUUCUCAACAUCC
rnacentral:lncRNA from 1 species